rnacentral:rRNA from 1 species
GACGAACGCUGGCGGCGUGCUUAACACAUGCCAGUCGAACGGAGAGGCCCUGCUUUUGUGGGGUGCUCGAGUGGCGAACGGGUGAGUAACACGUGAGUAACCUGCCCUUGACUUUGGGAUAACUUCAGGAAACUGGGGCUAAUACCGGAUAGGAGCUCCUGCUGCAUGGUGGGGGUUGGAAAGUUUCGGCGGUUGGGGAUGGACUCGCGGCUUAUCAGCUUGUUGGUGGGGUAGUGGCUUACCAAGGCUUUGACGGGUAGCCGGCCUGAGAGGGUGACCGGCCACAUUGGGACUGAGAUACGGCCCAGACUCCUACGGGAGGCAGCAGUGGGGAAUAUUGCACAAUGGGCGAAAGCCUGAUGCAGCAACGCCGCGUGCGGGAUGACGGCCUUCGGGUUGUAAACCGCUUUCGCCUGUGACGAAGCGUGAGUGACGGUAAUGGGUAAAGAAGCACCGGCUAACUACGUG